rnacentral:rRNA from 1 species
GACGAACGCUGGCGGCGUGCCUAAUACAUGCAAGUAGAACGCACAGUCUAUACCGUAGCUUGCUACACCAUAGACGGUGAGUUGCGAACGGGUGAGUAACGCGUAGGUAACCUGUCUGGUAGCGGGGGAUAACUAUUGGAAACGAUAGCUAAUACCGCAUAAUAUUGAUUAUUGCAUGAUAAUUGAUUGAAAGAUGCUAUUGCAUCACUACUAGACGGACCUGCGUUGUAUUAGGUAGUAGGCGAGGUAACGGCUCACCUAGGCGGCGAUACAUAGCCGACCUGGGAGGGUGGGCAGCCGGACUGGGAGUGAGACACGGCCCAGACUGCUACAGGGAGCAGCAGGAGGGAAACGUGGGCAAUGGGCGGGAAACAGAGCGAGCUGCGCGGCGGGCGGAAAGAGGGUUGUCGGGUGGGGGAGGACUGUUGUCGGGGAGGAAAGGGUGUGAGAGUGGGAAGUUCAGAGUGUGACGGUAACUUACCAGGAAGGAACGGCUAACUACGUG